GUUGGCUAAUCCUGGUCGGACAUCAGGAGGUUAGUGCAAUGGCAUAAGCCAGCUUGACUGCGAGCGUGACGGCGCGAGCAGGUGCGAAAGCAGGUCAUAGUGAUCCGGUGGUUCUGAAUGGAAGGGCCAUCGCUCAACGGAUAAAAGGUACUCCGGGGAUAACAGGCUGAUACCGCCCAAGAGUUCAUAUCGACGGCGGUGUUUGGCACCUCGAUGUCGGCUCAUCACAUCCUGGGGCUGAAGUAGGUCCCAAGGGUAUGGCUGUUCGCCAUUUAAAGUGGUACGCGAGCUGGGUUUAGAACGUCGUGAGACAGUUCGGUCCCUAUCUGCCGUGGGCGCUGGAGAACUGAGGGGGGCUGCUCCUAGUACGAGAGGACCGGAGUGGACGCAUCACUGGUGUUCGGGUUGUCAUGCCAAUGGCACUGCCCGGUAGCUAAAUGCGGAAGAGAUAAGUGCUGAAAGCAUCUAAGCACGAAACUUGCCCCGAGAUGAGUUCUCCCUGACUCCUUGAGAGUCCUGAAGGAACGUUGAAGACGACGACGUUGAUAGGCCGGGUGCGUAAGCGCACCGAUGCGUUGAGCUAACCGG
rnacentral:rRNA from 1 species